rnacentral:rRNA from 1 species
UAGGGAAUCUUCCGCAAUGGGCGAAAGCCUGACGGAGCAACGCCGCGUGUGCGAAGAAGGUCUUCGGAUCUUAAAGCACUGUUGUUAAGGAAGAACGACAGUAAGAGUAACUGCUUACUGUGUGACGGUACUUAACCAGAAAGCCACGGCUAACUACGUGCCAGCAGCCGCGGUAAUACGUAGGUGGCAAGCGUUAUCCGGAAUUAUUGGGCGUAAAGCGCGCGUAGGCGGCGAGAUUAGUCUGAUGUGAAAGCCCCCGGCUCAACCGGGGAAGGUCAUUGGAAACUGUUUCGCUUGAGUGCAGAAGAGGAGAGUGGAAUUCCAUGUGUAGCGGUGAAAUGCGCAGAGAUAUGGAGGAACACCAGUGGCGAAGGCGGCUCUCUGGUCUGCAACUGACGCUGAUGUGCGAAAGCGUGGGGAUCAAACAGGAUUAGAUACCC